GUAACUUUCUCUUAGUCACGUUCAGAAGAACCACAGAGAGAAACAUGACAAAGAGGAAGUGAUCCAGGAGGACACGUGGCAGGGCUGACUAGAAGGAUUGAGAAGAGUUUGUCGAUAAAGCUGCAAGCAGUGAAUCCAGGUAGGAGAUGUGAGCCAGGAGCUUCUGCUAAUAGGAAAAUGGACUCUGUUCACCACCCACUGAGCUCCAGGAUCUCAGGCAGAAAAAACACAGUCAGCUUGCCUUUUAUAUGGAACAAUAUCAUGGGGCUGACCUAACAUCUUUUUUCAUAGCAAUAUCCAAGUAGAAAUCCUGGCUGAUCUUUCUCCAAUUAUCUUCUCUGCAAUGAACCCUGGAGAUGUUCUGAACCUGUCUAAUCCCAAGCAGAUAAUAAGAGCUCAAGACAACUUGUGGGAUUUCUCUCCAUUUACUCCUACCUGACCUGCGAAGAUCAUAAAUGUGAGGAUUGGUCAC